rnacentral:rRNA from 1 species
CCCCGCCGGAAGACCAAGGGUUCCUGCGCAACGCUAAUCGGCGCAGGGUGAGUCGGCCCCUAAGGCGAGACCGAAAGGUGUAGUCGAUGGGAAAUCGGUUAAAAUUCCGAUACUUUGUAUUGCUGCGAUGGGGGGACGGAGAAGGCUAGGCCAGCACACUGUUGGAUGUGUGUUUAAGCCCGUAGGGAGUGAACUUAGGUAAAUCCGGGUUCAUAAUCCUGAGAGGUGAUGACGAGGUCUCUUAACGAGACUGAAGUGGUUGAUGCCCAGCUUCCAGGAAAAGCCUCUAAGCUUCAGGCAAUACAGAACCGUACCCCAAACCGACACAGGUGGUCAGGUAGAGAAUACCAAGGCGCUUGAGAGAACUCGGGUGAAGGAACUAGGCAAAAUGGUGCCGUAACUUCGGGAGAAGGCACGCCGUCAUGUACGUGAAAGCCCUGCGGCUGGAGCGGAAGGCGGUCGAAGAUACCAGGCCCCUGCGACUGUUUAUUAAAAACACAGCACUCUGCAAACACGAAAGUGGACGUAUAGGGUGUGACGCCUGCCCGGUGCCGGAAGGUUAAUUGAUGGGGUUAGCUUCGGCGAAGCUCUUGAUCGAAGCCCCGGUAAACGGCGGCCGUAACUAUAACGGUCCUAAGGUAGCGAAAUUCCUUGUCGGGUAAGUUCCGACCUGCACGAAUGGCGUAACGAUGGGGGCGCUGUCUCCACCCGAGACUCAGUGAAAUUGAAAUCGCAGUGAAGAUGCUGUGUAUCCGCGGCUAGACGGAAAGACCCCGUGAACCUUUACUACAGCUUCACAGUGAACUUUGAACCUACUUGUGUAGGAUAGGUGGGAGGCUUUGAAGUGGCGACGCCAGUUGUCAUGGAGCCAUCCUUGAAAUACCACCCUGGUAUGUUUGAGGUUCUAACUCUGGCUGGUUAUCCCGGUCGAGGACAUUGUGUGGUGGGUAGUUUGACUGGGGCGGUCUCCUCCCAAAGAGUAACGGAGGAGCACGAAGGUGCGCUAAGUACGGUCGGACAUCGUACGGUUAGUGUAAUGGCAUAAGCGCGCUUAACUGCGAGACCCACACGUCGAGCAGGUACGAAAGUAGGUCAUAGUGAUCCGGUGGUUCUGUAUGGAAGGGCCAUCGCUCAACGGAUAAAAGGUACUCCGGGGAUAACAGGCUGAUACCGCCCAAGAGUUCACAUCGACGGCGGUGUUUGGCACCUCGAUGUCGGCUCAUCACAUCCUGGGGCUGAAGCCGGUCCCAAGGGUAUGGCUGUUCGCCAUUUAAAGUGGUACGCGAGCUGGGUUUAGAACGUCGUGAGACAGUUCGGUCCCUAUCUGCCGUGGACGUUGGAGAUUUGAGAAGAGUUGCUCCUAGUACGAGAGGACCGGAGUGAACGAACCGCUGGUGUUCGGGUUGUGAUGCCAAUUGCAUUGCCCGGUAGCUACGUUCGGACAGGAUAACCGCUGAAAGCAUCUAAGCGGGAAGCCCCCUUCAAGAUGAGAUCUCCCUGAGGACUUGAUCCUCCUAAAGGGCCCUUGU